rnacentral:lncRNA from 1 species
GGCUUCCACGUGUGUAAGACGAGUGGCCCAGCUGCUCUUGGGUGUUUCUUGAUUCUUCAACAGUCCUUGGGCCUCAGCAAAAUUGGCAGAAGUCAGAAAUGUGUAAUCUCAGGCAUCCCUGCUGACUCAGUGGUAAAGAAUCUGCCUGCCAAUGCAAGAGACAUAGGUUUGAUCGAGAAAAAUCCCACACGCUGUGGAGCAGCUAAGUCCGCGCACCACGACCAUUGCUCCUGUAGAGCCCGGAGCCACAACCCCUGACGCCCGGGCCUCCCAGAGCCUGUCUCUGCAACAAGAGCGCGGGGGGCUUUCUUGGAGUGAAAGCUGCUCCCCCACAGCAUGGACAGUGCCUGAGAUGAGGCCCAGAUGGCCCUGCAAGCCUGACGGGGGAGCCACAGUCUUCAGUCACCGUGCAGGUGAGCAGUGAGCACCUCCGGGCAUCAGAGAGUCGUGGAGAGUCGUGGGGCCUGGAUUCCUGUCCUCAGGAAGCCCUGGGCCUAAGAGGGGCAUCAGACAAGAUGGAAGUGCCCCACCAUGUGGCACGUGCUCACUGAGAAAAGGCACACAGGACCAGAAGAAAGACAAGGAGUUACGACACAGCCCGAGGGAGUCAGGAAAAUCAGCAGAGCAGAUGGUUUUCAAGGCCCGAAGAUUCUUUUACUUGUCAGAAGCAGCACUCACCUGUGCCUCUCCCUGAUCAGGCCCAAACAAAUCAGCUGCCCUCACCUGAAAGGGUGUUAGUCUCUCAAUCAUGUCCCUGCGACCCCAUGGACUGCAGCCCACCAGGCUCCUUUGUCCAUGGGAUUUUCCAGGUAAGAAUACUGGAGUGGGUUGUCAUUUCCUUCUCCAGGGGAUCUUCUUGACUCAGAGAUCGAACCCAGGUCUCCUACAUUACAGGUGUAUUCUUUACCAUCUGAGCCACCAGGGACAUGCAUAAGAAACUGUUACCUCUCAAAACUGGGGUCAGAAGGUUGGGUGUGUGGUUCAGGCUCUACAAGGCAUUUCACAUUCUCCUAGUAUCUCCUCUUGUCUCCCUAUGAAGCUCUUACAUCUCAGGACACCUCUAACCAAUACCCUCUUUUGAUGGGAGCUAGUGCUCAGCGGUUAAUAUUUUCAGCCCAGAGAGACACAGCCUGUGCUUUAGACCAUGGCAAACCCUCCCAGCUAGCCCCAGUCCAUCCAAAUCUCUCCUGUUCCUCAGAUCCCAUGGCCAAGACAGUCCCUGAGUCUGUUCAGUGGACAAGCUCCCACAGUGUCCAGUGCUGAGGCUCCUCCCACCCCCGUGCCCCCUCGGCCCUGCACAAUGAGCCCGCACUCCUGGGAAUACAGGGUCCCCUGUGCGCUUCUUCCGGGGCUGCUGCUGGGCCUUCUUCCUCCUUCAACCAGAGCAGGGAGCUGGCUCGGGCAGGCCCAUGAGUAGGAGGAGGAGGGGACGAGCUGUCAGUCCCUCCAUCUCCUGCGUGCAAAGGCACUGGGGGCUGAGAGCAGGCUUGGCCUGCUCAGCGGUCAGGACUCGGGGUGCCUGCGGGGGAGGCUGAACCUACUGGGGAAUGGUGACAGUGUUGAUGGUGACAAGCUGUUUCCAUCUCUGUACGAGCUGGUCCAGUUCACCAAAUUCUCCCGAAACUAACACCCGUAUAUAAACACUCUUCCUCUGGCAACAGGGGGUGGGCUGAGUGUUUUCCAGGAAACUCCUCACUAACCUCUGGGAAAGAUUCUGACAGAGUCUCUGAUGAUGCAA